AGAGUUUGAUCCUGGCUCAGAGCGAACGCUGGCGGCAGGCCUAACACAUGCAAGUCGAACGGAUCCUUCGGGAUUAGUGGCGGACGGGUGAGUAACACGUGGGAACGUGCCUUUUGGUUCGGAACAACUCAGGGAAACUUGAGCUAAUACCGGAUAAGCCCUUCGGGGGAAAGAUUUAUCGCCAUUAGAGCGGCCCGCGUAGGAUUAGCUAGUUGGUGGGGUAAAGGCCCACCAAGGCUACGAUCCUUAGCUGGUCUGAGAGGAUGAUCAGCCACAUUGGGACUGAGACACGGCCCAAACUCCUACGGGAGGCAGCAGUGGGGAAUCUUGCGCAAUGGGCGAAAGCCUGACGCAGCCAUGCCGCGUGAAUGAUGAAGGUCUUAGGAUUGUAAAAUUCUUUCACCGGGGACGAUAAUGACGGUACCCGGAGAAGAAGCCCCGGCUAACUUCGUGCCAGCAGCCGCGGUAAUACGAAGGGGGCUAGCGUUGCUCGGAAUUACUGGGCGUAAAGGGAGCGUAGGCGGAUAGUUUAGUCAGAGGUGAAAGCCCAGGGCUCAACCUUGGAAUUGCCCUUGAUACUGGCUAUCUUGAGUACGGAAGAGGUAUGUGGAACUCCGAGUGUAGAGGUGAAAUUCGUAGAUAUUCGGAAGAACACCAGUGGCGAAGGCGACAUACUGGUCCGUUACUGACGCUGAGGCUCGAAAGCGUGGGGAGCAAACAGGAUUAGAUACCCUGGUAGUCCACGCUGUAAACGAUGAGUGCUAGUUGUCGGCAUGCAUGCAUGUCGGUGACGCAGCUAACGCAUUAAGCACUCCGCCUGGGGAGUACGGUCGCAAGA
rnacentral:rRNA from 1 species